rnacentral:misc_RNA from 1 species
UUUCCGUAGGUGAACCUGCGGAAGGAUCAUUAUUGAAACUUCAUCCGGGGCGCCGCGGCCCUCAGCACCGGUGGAAACGCCGUGCUGCGGGGGCCGCGCGUGCACUCGUCCAAACCAAACCCCUGUGAACCUUACGGGAUGGCCCGGGUUAGCGCCCGGUGCCGUUCCGCUUUAUACAAACACUUAUCAAAGAAUGAACUGAAGGCGGUCUGACCGCUGGAUAACAAACUGAAACAACUUUCAACAACGGAUCUCUUGGCUCUCGCAUCAUGAAGAACGCAGC